AUGCAUCAUAAAUCCAAUAUACAUACCGAAAAGGAUUUAGUUAGCAAUUAUAUAUUGCGAAAUGCUUUGAUUUGUACUCCGCAUAAUGAUCGUACUUACAUCACCACUGAUAUAAUGGAAUUGAACGAAAACUCAUUUCUAGAAGGGAUGACGAAGCUACUACAUACAAGAAGUACUUUAGACAGAACAAAAGUAAAUGAUUUUUUACAGAUAUUUAUUCUCUUAAUCUAUCUACUUGGGUGCUUUAUAUAUUUUUUUUUCUUUUCGAGUUGCAGGCAUGAAAUUCAAUUGUGUUUUGAACAUCAACGCCCACUUAAGGCUAGACACAUUUUUUCAGUAAAAAAUUAUUUUCACGAUUUAAGCGUCCAUGACAAUAAUUAUUUACUGAAAAAACGUGUCUAG